AUUGAACGCUGGCGGCAGGCCUAACACAUGCAAGCCGAACGAGUGGCGGACGGGUGAGUAAUGCCUGGGAAACUGCCCUAUGGAGGGGGAUAACGACGGGAAACUGUCGCUAAUACCGCGUACCAUAGGAUGAGCCCAAGUGGGAUUAGGUAGUAGGUGGGGUAACGGCUCACCUAGCCGACGAUCCCUAGCUGGUCUGAGAGGAUGACCAGCCACACCGGAACUGAGACACGGCCCAGACUCCUACGGGAGGCAGCAGUGGGGAAUAUUGCACAAUGGGGGCAAGCCUGACGCAGCCAUGCCGCGUGUAUGAAGAAGGCCUUCGGGUUGUAAAGUACUUUCAGCGACGAGGCGUUAAUCGCAGAAGAAGCACCGGCUAACUCCGUGCCAGCAGCCGCGGUAAUUC
rnacentral:rRNA from 1 species